CUAGACUCCUACGGGAGGCAGCAGUGGGGAAUAUUGCACAAUGGGCGAAAGCCUGAUGCAGCGACGCCGCGUGAGUGAAGAAGUAUUUCGGUAUGUAAAGCUCUAUCAGCAGGGAAGAAAAUGACGGUACCUGACUAAGAAGCCCCGGCUAACUACGUGCCAGCAGCCGCGGUAAUACGUAGGGGGCAAGCGUUAUCCGGAAUUACUGGGUGUAAAGGGUGCGUAGGUGGCAUGGUAAGUCAGAAGUGAAAGCCCGGGGCUUAACCCCGGGACUGCUUUUGAAACUGUCAUGCUGGAGUGCAGGAGAGGUAAGCGGAAUUCCUAGUGUAGCGGUGAAAUGCGUAGAUAUUAGGAGGAACACCAGUGGCGAAGGCGGCUUACUGGACUGUCACUGACACUGAUGCACGAAAGCGUGGGGAGCAAACAGGAUUAGAUACCCCAGUAAC
rnacentral:rRNA from 1 species